AUUGAACGCUGGCGGCAGGCUUAACACAUGCAAGUCGAGCGAGCGGCGGACGGGUGAGUAAUGUCUGGGAAACUGCCUGAUGGAGGGGGAUAACUACUGGAAACGGUAGCUAAUACCGCAUACCAUCGGAUGUGCCCAGCUGGGCUUCGCUAGUAGGUGGGGUAAAGGGUCACCUAGGCGACGAUCCCUAGCUGGUCUGAGAGGAUGACGAGCCACGUGGAAAAGAGGACACGGUCCAGAAUCGUACGGGAGGCAGCAGUGGAGAAGAUUGCACAAUGGGCGCAAGCCUGAUGCAGCCAUGGCGCGUGUAUGAAGAAGGCCUUCGGGUUGUAAAGUACUUUCAGCGGGGGGGCGGUACCUACAGAACAAGCACCGGCUAACUCCGUGACAGCAGCCGCGGUAAUUC
rnacentral:rRNA from 1 species